AGAGUUUGAUCCUGGCUCAGAAUCAACGCUGGCGGCGCGCUUAACACAUGCAAGUCGCACGAGAAAGUGGAGCAAUCCAUGAGUACAGUGGCGUACGGGUGAGUAACACGUGGAUCAUCUACCUCUUGAUGGGGAAUAACCCUGGGAAACCGGGGCUAAUACCGCAUAAGCCUGAAAAGGGAAAGCAGCAAUGCGUCGAGAGAGGAGUCCGCGGCCGAUUAGCUAGUUGGUAGGGUAAUGGCCUACCAAGGCAAUGAUCGGUAGCCGGCCUGAGAGGGCACACGGCCACACUGGCACUGAAACACGGGCCAGACUCCUACGGGAGGCAGCAGUGGGGAAUCUUGCACAAUGGGGGCAACCCUGAUGCAGCGACGCCGCGUGAGCGAUGAAGCCCCUCGGGGUGUAAAGCUCUUUCGGCAGGAACGAUUAUGACGGUACCUGCAGAAGAAGCUGCGGCUAACUACGUGCCAGCAGCCGCGGUAAUACGUAGGCAGCAAGCGUUGUUCGGAGUUACUGGGCGUAAAGAGUGUGUAGGCGGUUCUCUAAGUUCCGUGUGAAAUCUCCCGGCUCAACUGGGAGGGUGCGCGGAAAACUGGAGGGCUUGAGUAUGGGAGAGGAAAGCGGAAUUCCUGGUGUAGCGGUGAAAUGCGUAGAUAUCAGGAGGAACACCUGCGGUGUAGACAGCUUUCUGGACCAUCACUGACGCUGAGACACGAAAGCGUGGGUAGCAAACAGGAUUAGAUACCCUGGUAGUCCACGCCCUAAACGAUGCAUACUUGGUGUGAGCCGUUCAUUCGGUUCGUGCCGGAGCUAACGCGUUAAGUAUGCCGCCUGGGGAGUACGGUCGCAAGGCUGAAACUCAAGGAAUUGACGGGGGCCCGCACAAGCGGUGGAGCAUGUGGUUUAAUUCGACGCAACGCGAAGAACCUUACCUGGGCUCGAACGGCUUCGGACAAACUGU
rnacentral:rRNA from 1 species